rnacentral:rRNA from 1 species
GACGAACGCUGGCGGCGUGCCUAAUACAUGCAAGUUGAGCGCUGAAGGUUGGUACUUGUACCGACUGGAUGAGCAGCGAACGGGUGAGUAACGCGUGGGGAAUCUGCCUUUGAGCGGGGGACAACAUUUGGAAACGAAUGCUAAUACCGCAUAAAAACUUUAAACACAAGUUUUAAGUUUGAAAGAUGCAAUUGCAUCACUCAAAGAUGAUCCCGCGUUGUAUUAGCUAGUUGGUGAGGUAAAGGCUCACCAAGGCGAUGAUACAUAGCCGACCUGAGAGGGUGAGCGGCCACAUUGGGACUGAGACACGGCCCAAACUCCUACGGGAGGCAGCAGUAGGGAAUCUUCGGCAAUGGACGAAAGUCUGACCGAGCAACGCCGCGUGAGGGAAGAAGGUUGUCGGAUCGUAAAACUCUGUUGGUAGAGAAGAACGUUGGUGAGAGUGGAAAGCUCAUCAAGUGACGGUAACUACCCAGAAAGGGACGGCUAACUACGUG